CCCUGACGCAGCAACGCCGCGUGGAGGAUGACACUUUUCGGAGCGUAAACUCCUUUUCUUAGGGAAGAAUUCUAACGGUACCUAAGGAAUAAGCACCGGCUAACUCCGUGCCAGCAGCCGCGGUAAUACGGAGGGUUCAAGCGUUACUCGGAAUCACUGGGCGUAAAGGGCGCGUAGGCGGAUUAUCACGUCUCUUGUGAAAUCUAAUGGCUUAACCAUUAAACUGCUUGGGAAACGGAUAGUCUAGAGUGAGGGAGCGGCAGAUGGAAUU
rnacentral:rRNA from 1 species